CACAAGGGGUGAAGCUGCGGUUCAWUNGGAGUCACGCCGNGGAAUCUUACCGGGGGCGACAGCAGAUGUGAAGGUCAAGCUGAAGACUUUACCAGACAAGCUGAGAGGAGGUGCAUGGCCGUCGCCAGCUCGUGCCGUGAGGUGUCCUGUUAAGUCAGGUAACGAGCGAGAUCCCUACCUCUAGUUGCUACUGNUAUUCUCUGGAGUAGUARAGCUAAUUAGAGGGACCGCCGCCGCUGAGGCGGAGGAAGGAGGGGGCUACGGCAGGUCAGUAUGCCCCGAAACCCUCKGGCCACACGCGGGCUGCAAUGGUAAGGACAAUGGGUUCCUAUUCCGAAAGAGAGGAGGCAAUCCCUAAACCUUACCCCAGUUAUGAUUGAGGGCUGAAACUCGCCCUCAUGAAUAUGGAAUCCCUAGUAACCGNNNGNNNUCNUCGCNCGNNGAAUACNUCCCUGNUCC
rnacentral:rRNA from 1 species